rnacentral:sRNA from 2 species
GAAUUUAAAGACUUCCUUUGAAUGACGAAGCUAACUUAGGGGUGAUAUGUAGAAUUACGGAGCAGUUGAAAUGAAUGGUUGUUUUGCAUGAAGCGCCAUUAACCACUUAGUUGACGAUCUGGCCUGGCUGUGUGGUAUCCUGCAGGGUUCUCCUGCUAACAGUGUCAAGUCCGUGGGGAUAUAAAGAUAACUCCCCCGAAAUAAGUCGCCGAUAUUGGCCUUGAGUGGAGAAAUGAACGAGCCCUUGUUGAAAAAUGUUUUUUCUUGCCAAGAAACGGCUAUAAGACGUCAACAAUCCCUCGGUACGAGGCAUUAUGACGGGUAAGUUAGUCGGACACGUUAGCUUUGUUGAUUGAGCAUGUUGCCGCUGGUAAAGAAAGAUAGGGCUUUGUUUGGCUAUAGACCUCUCGAACAGCUGUCAGAGAAGUCGAUGUGAUUUAAGAAUUGAGGCCAGGGAGCAUUCCUAGUAGUCAAGUAAUCUGUAGUUAGUUAACCAGUCAGUUGCUAGUAAGAAGUAAGAAGGUUAUAUCAUCAAGCUUGAUUUAGUCUGUUGCAUCCAUCGCUGUCA